CCUACGGGUGGCAGCAGUGAGGAAUAUUGGUCAAUGGGCGCAAGCCUGAACCAGCCAAGUCGCGUGAGGGAAUAAGGCCCUACGGGUCGUAAACCUCUUUUGCCGGGGAGCAAGGGCGGGGACGUGUCCCGGCCCGGAGGGUACCCGGAGAAAAAGCAUCGGCUAACUCCGUACAAGCAGCCGGGGUAAUAGGGGGGAUGCGAGGUUUAUCCGGAUUUAUUGGGUUUAAAGGGUGCGUGGGGGGUCUUUUAAGUCGGCGGUAAAAAUUCGGGGUUAAACCCCGUACGGCCGUUGAAACUGGGGGCCUUGAGUGGGGGAGAGGAAGGCGGAAUGCGUGGUGUAGCGGUGAAAUGCAUAGAUAUCACGCAGAACUCCGAUUGCGAAGGCAGCUUUCCGG
rnacentral:rRNA from 1 species